UACAGAGGCCCCGAGCGUUAUCCGGAAUUAUUGGGCGUAAAGGGUGUGUAGGUGGUUGUGUUAGUCGAAUGUCAAAAAUCUGGGCUCAACCCAGGGGAGGCAUUCGGAACGGCACGGCUUGAGUGUGUGAGAGGUGAACGGAACUCAUGGAGUAGGGGUGAAAUCCGUUGAUAUCAUGGGGAACACCAAAUGCGAAGGCAGUUCACUGGCACAUUACUGACACUGAGACACGAAAGCGUGGGUAGCGAAUGGG
rnacentral:rRNA from 1 species